GUCUACAGCCAUGCUACCCUGAACAAGCCUGAUCCUGUCUGAUCUUGGGAGCUAAGCAGGGUCGGGCCUGGUUAGUACUUGGAUGGGAGACCACCUAGGAAGACCAGGUGCUGUAGGCA
rnacentral:rRNA from 1 species